rnacentral:lncRNA from 1 species
AUUUUUCACUUACAGACUCACGGUGCAUCAACAUUCUCUCUCACUUAAACUCUCCAAUCAACUCCUUCACAAAAUCCACACCAACCUUUUCUUCAUCCAAGGCCAACACGCUCCCUCCCUAAUUACUUGCAUAGAGUGCGUUGUGAGACCACACGGUCCCAAAGAUUCACAAAAAGAUUUCUCACUCUCCAUUCCAUACUUCUUUACGUAAUCCCCCUUCUUUUUUUUUUCCUCUGUAAAGAUCUAACUGCAUGGUUCACUCCACAUCAAGGCUUAGCAACUUCGUUAACAAAGAACCAUCCUAGCAAAACUCGAGACUAACCUAUCUUCAUUCUUCCACCAUUAUAUUUAUCUUCCUAUUUCUUUGAUUCACUAUCAUAUUCCAAGGUACCCAAGUAAAACAGAGGCAACUCCCCUUGUUGUAUGAAUCUCACAUUGCAACACCUACUUCUUCCUAGUUCACAUCAUUCAAGAGACCCAAUCUUUCUA